GAUAGUGGCGAACGGGUGAGUAACGCGUAAGUAACCUACCUCUAAGUGGGGGAUAGCUUCGGGAAACUGAAGGUAAUACCGCAUGUGGUGGGCCGACAUAUGUUGGUUCACUAAAGCCGUAAGGCGCUUGGUGAGGGGCUUGCGUCCGAUUAGCUAGUUGGUGGGGUAAUGGCCUACCAAGGCUUCGAUCGGUAGCUGGUCUGAGAGGAUGAUCAGCCACACUGGGACUGAGACACGGCCCAGACUCCUACGGGAGGCAGCAGCAAGGAAUCUUGGGCAAUGGGCGAAAGCCUGACCCAGCAACGCCGCGUGAGGGAUGAAGGCUUUCGGGUUGUAAACCUCUUUUCAUAGGGAAGAAUAAUGACGGUACCUGUGGAAUAAGCUUCGGCUAACUACGUGCCAGCAGCCGCGGUAAUACGUAGGAAGCAAGCGUUAUCCGGAUUUAUUGGGCGUAAAGUGAGCGUAGGUGGUCUUUCAAGUUGGAUGUGAAAUUUCCCGGCUUAACCGGGACGAGUCAUUCAAUACUGUUGGACUAGAGUACAGCAGGAGAAAACGGAAUUCCCGGUGUAGUGGUAAAAUGCGUAGAUAUCGGGAGGAACACCAGAGGCGAAGGCGGUUUUCUAGGUUGUCACUGACACUGAGGCUCGAAAGCGUGGGGAGCGAACAGAAUUAGAUACUCUGGUAGUCCACGCCUUAAACUAUGGACACUAGGUAUAGGGAGUAUCGACCCUCUCUGUGCCGAAGCUAACGCUUUAAGUGUCCCGCCUGGGGAGUACGGUCGCAAGGCUAAAACUCAAAGGAAUUGACGGGGGCCCGCACAAGCAGCGGAGCGUGUGGUUUAAUUCGAUGCUACACGAAGAACCUUACCAAGAUUUGACAUGCAUGUAGUAGUGAACUGAAAGGGGAACGACCUGUUAAGUCAGGAACUUGCACAGGUGCUGCAUGGCUGUCGUCAGCUCGUGCCGUGA
rnacentral:rRNA from 1 species